rnacentral:lncRNA from 1 species
GGCAACUCUCUCUCUCUCUAAUAGAACAUUUUAGAAUGUUCUGUCCUUUUCCAAUUCUCUACUAGCUAAUAGAGUCCUCUAUAAAACUCUAGGAACAAGGUGCUCUCUACUUGCUAAUAGAGCACUUUAGUGAGUUCUAGAAACAAGUACUCUAGAAUAUUCUAGAGUGCUUAUGUAGGUAGAUUGGAGGCCUAUAAAUAGGUGUGAGGCCUCCACACCAAGUGUGCUUGGAGAGUGAAGAGUGAGAUAUAGUGAAGUAAGGAUGUGAGUGGUGAUGUGAGGUGAGAAAGUGUUGUGAAGUGUAGUGAAGUAGUGAAGUAAGUGUGUGAGGUUUGUAAUCUUAUGCGUGUAUGUGAAUGAGAGUUAUUUUGUAUGUAAUAAAGAGAGUUUUAUUAUUAGCGGGGUAUGCCAAUAUUCAACAAGUUGU